rnacentral:rRNA from 1 species
CCUACGGGUGGCUGCAGUAAGGAAUAUUGGACAAUGGCCGCAAGGCUGAUCCAGCCAUGCCGCGUGCAGGAAGAAGGCCCUAUGGGUCGUAAACUGCUUUUGAACGGGAGAAAACCCUUGCUCGUGAGCGAGGCUGAUAGUACCGUUAGAAUAAGCAUCGGCUAACUUCGUGCCAGCAGCCGCGGUAAGACGAAGGAUGCAAGAUUUAUCCGGUUUCAUUGGGUUUAAGGGGGACUUGGAAGUCAUUGGUGAAAUCUGUGGGCUUAACCCACAAACUGCCAUUGAUACUGCAGGUCUAGAGUACAGUUGCCGUUGGCGGAAUAUGACAUGUAGUGGUGAAAUACUUAGAUAUGUCAUAGAACACCGAUUGCGAAGGCAGCUAACGAAGCUGUAACUGACGCUGAGGCUCGAAAGUGCGGGGAUCAAACAGGAUUAGAUACCCUGGUAGUC